GAGCUGAGGCCUUUUACCCAAUAGGAUUCAUCUUCAGCUCAGAGCUAUGAUUGAUUUCCUUGGAAUCAUGCAUCUGUUUACCAUGAAUACAAGAUUCAUAGCCAUGAUCAGCAGAAUUUUCCCAGAAGCCCAUAUUAAUACCACUGUGAUUUCAAGAGACCCUGAAAGAAUCUGUCAGUCUAAAUAGUAGCAGCUGGCAUCCCCUGAGGAAGAAUUCCCUUUCCCAUCCCACUUUCUGCAUGCAUGAACCCAGAAGAAUAAUUCAGCAAAGAUCAAGCCACAGAUCUGUGCUAAAUCUGUCAAGCUGCAUGUACUCUGUGAAGCAGGUCAAAUGGAAGAGAGAAGCCUAUGGCAGGGGGAACUGCAGAGGGAAGAAAGGAGGACACACAAAGACAGGGAAGGGGCAAUAAGGAAGAAAGAGAAACAAGAGGCUUAGAGUGGUGGUCAUAAAAGAUUGCAUCUUUUCCUGUUAAGUGAUAUUGAAAAAAAACCAAGGCAUUUAAAUAAUAAUAAUAAUAAUAAUAAUAACUAGAAAUUCAGUUAUCCCCUAGGGGCCAUAUACUGUCCUUGAUCUUUGUUUAAAUCUACUGAUAUCAAAGAAAGAUUCACCAUGGAGAGAAGGGUAGCAUGUUGUCUUACGUUUGUAACCUAGCCCACAGACCAUAAUCAAAUACAGAACUCUGCCCUCUCCACAGAAUAAGGAGGAGACCCCUGUUAAGGGUAAGAUGCGCACAAACUAUAUUUUAAAAUGCGUCUCAAACAUUUGAUUAGUUUAUACAGAUAGCUGAAGUCACUCAUUAAUUCAGCUGUAUUUGCUCUGAGAGCUCUCAGCAUUCAACAAUCUUUCAAAUUCCUGAUUUAGAGACUGGUAGAGAAACUCUGCGAGUAUAUUUGUAUUCUUAUGACUUGGAAUUUGUAUCCCUCCAAGUCUCUUCACUCAGAAAUUUCAUCUUAGAAAAUUAUAUGGAAUCUUUUAGUUAUAGUACUACUCUCCCAGCUCUUUGACUCAAUCUGUCCGUCUUAUAUAGUUUAUACACAAGCACCCCCAGGAUGCUGGCAUUCUACCAUGUUUCAGAAGUGCCUAUAAUAUCAAGAUCCUCUUCCAUUUUCAAACAAACAUUCUAGUUCACCUAUUUGUGUUAAGCUUCUCACAUCAAUAAAUAGAGUAGUGUCCCAUCCAUGGCUCUUGAGGCUUCAAUUGUGUUAAGAAAAUGUAUAGUUAACUAUGAAUUUUUAAUGUUUUCCCUGAGCCAUGACCUGCCGGUUUUGAAUGUGUUUUAAUCAGCCCAGUCAUUAUGGAUAGAAUGUAAAAGAGCUUAGCUUCCACAACAGCGAGAGCCAGGAGAGCUCUAAGCAGAUGCUCUCCAUUCCCUGGUGAAGCUGCUCCGCAGAUCUCCCACUCGCCACCUGCUGCAUCACCAGGGAAGGUGAGAAGUUCUGGUUGGGUUUAUUGCAUGCUUACCUGCCAGACUGCGAGCACUCCAGGAACAGCAAGGUAGUACUCGACUGGCUAUGCCUGAACACAGAGCAAUCCAUAGAAAGGAUGACUCCCCUCCCACACACAGCCAUCAGAAGGGAAGAGAAUAGGUACAGAACCAUGUGAUUCCCUCUCUUAGCCCAAGUUAGAACAGUUUACAAGAGCUGGGGAAAGCUGGUGUGCAACUCAUGCCAGCUAGUUCCUCACCCAAUGCAACCGAUGCACCACACGAUGCAGGAAAAGAGGUGUCUUUGCCAGCUCUAUAUUCACUUGGGGCAUCUCUCUGCCAGAGGAAUCCUCAGCUGGGGGGACCUGAGGGUAUUUUCUGCUCUCUUCUCACAGGGACCACAAAAGGGCAGAAACUAUGCCCCUAAACAAGUAAUGAUGGCUGCUCUUAACUUUUCCUAAAGUAAUACAUAUUCAAAAAUUAAAUAGCUGAUGGGGCUUCUGUUUGGGGACCCAAGACAGCAUCCUGGCCUGAAUCACGGGAAAUCUUAUUAGGCUCCCCCACUUAUUAGUGACUCCCCCAAAAUAUUACAAGUUUUCUAUGCCAGCAGUCUGUUUCUCUGUUGGUUAAAGUGGAGCCUAUCCCUUCUGUUACAGGCUCUCCCUUCACUAAAAAGUUUCUUCGAUGCCUAAUAAGACUUCCCGUAAUUCAGGCCAGAUACUGUCUUGGGUCCCCAAACAAAAGCCCCACCAACUAUCUAACUUUUGAAUAUGAAUCAUCAUAUUCUACAACAAUAAAGUACAGUAGUCAUGAGGAAAAAAUCCAACACACCAGAAACAUGGAAAAAAACAGUCAACUUCAAAACAAUUCUGCUCAUAUCCAAUCUUCCGCCAUUCUGAUGCACCAAUGUUUAUUAUUAGGGAUGUUUCAAUGAAGACAUGAUCCUUAUCUGCUUCUUUUCCACAUUCCAAAACUUAUGUCAAUUUGACAUGGUAUCACAAUCAGUUGCUAUGUAAAUUACUAUAUCACCACCACAAAUUGCCACCACUAAGACAGCCAAAGUUGCCAUGAUAGUUUGGGGUUGUUUUUUUUUUAAAUCACAAGAGUCGCAAGAAAAACGUUGGCAAAAAAAUCAGAGAUUUUUAUCCAUUUUUUUCUAUAACUCAGACAAACUACCCUAAUAAGACCCCAGGUCUGCAAAUGUUUACUCACAUGCUUAACUUCAAGCACACACAUAAUUUAUUACAGGACUGUGGCCUAAAUAUGCAACACAAAUUUUCUCCCUUCUUGAGAGGGAAAAGGUUUCACUAAGGAAAUAAGCUUCAGUUUCAACUUUUACUACAUUAACAAAAUGAAUACAAUAUUUCAAGAUUAUGAAAAAUACCUCAAAGCCUUUUAAACUUGUCUUAAUUUCUCCUUUUUCACUUCCUAAUUUUCUCUAGCUAGUACGAAACAAGACCUUCAAAUCAAGAAAGAAGCUUUCACUAGAUCUGUCAAGAAAUACAAUCUUCCUGCAAGAAAGUUCCAAGGCUGAAGUCACAAAUGGACUUGCUACAAUUCCCACCACAAUUUCUAUAUAAUCAUAGAAGCAGUGUAUUACUGUUAUUUCACAUGUACAAUAUGUACCAAAGCCCAAUGGCUUCCCUAAUUCAAAUCUAGGCCAUACAGAUUCAAAGUCACUCAUUCCUCCUAAUCAAACUGACCAUGGACUCCACAUGACCUUGCCAACAUGAUCUCCUCUGCCAGUUUCAGUGUUUAGCCAACUGUUAUGAAUGACUCAGAAAAGGCUAGGCUGUAAUAUUCUCUCUCACUCUUCCUCACCGCCUGUUACAGACGCCCAGAAAAGCAAGUUUCAACGUCUCCAAUACAAGAAGAAAGUGAAAUUUAAACAAACUCUUUAUACAACGAGACCCUGAAACUUAGAAUUAUUCACCCAAAUCCUAUAUUAAAAGAAUAAAGAAAGACCCAAAACUUCUGAUAAAAUAAGACCCCUAAAAAAGGAAUUUCAUAAUUAAAAGUACUUCGAAUUUCUGAACCAGCUGGCUCUUUUUAAAA